UUAUUAGAUCGCUUUGGUAACAGCUGAUGGGAGGCAGGAGGUGGGAAAAGAAGGAGUUCCCCAAAAAGGAGAAGAGAGCUGUUCCCAUAAAAAGAGAAGAGUGCAUCUAGGGGAAAUAUGAAUAUCUUCUGCUGGGAUAAAUGCUCUGCCACAUUCCUUGGGAUUCCAGGAUCAAUACAUAGAUUAACUAAAGGAAUGAAAUCCCAGCUAGAAUCAAACCUGCAGGACCAGAGGCAUGAAACCUGAGAGGUGAGGAAACUGAGGCGCAGAGUAUCUAAGGAAUUCACAGAGAAGAACUGAACAGAACAGGCAGAUGUUCAUACAGCACAGCCUGCUCAGCAUUCACAGUCUGAGAACAUUCCACUCUGCGAUUCUCUAAAUCCUUUUCCCAUCUCUCUCUUUUUCUUCGUGGAUUUUUAUCCUUUUACUGUGUACUUUCCCAUAUAACGUCCAGCACGGCAAUCUUUUUGCCUGUUUCUUUGUCCUUCUCCCCCAAUUGGCAGAGGAAUAAUCUCUAUCUGGCUGAGACGUCAAGCGCUGAAAAAUAUUGGCAUUCCUUAAAGAAGCAAUUUGUUUUCUUUUCUCAAAUGUAUCACGUGCGGUUAAGUGGCACUGACUUGUGCCCCAGCUGACCAAAUUUCACAGAGAUGGCCUGUCUGAGGCUAGAGGAUCUUUUGAGGAAUGGGUAUCUUCUCUAUGGAAAUAUCCCAAUUACCAUUUCUUGCGGGAAACACAGCAUCACCCCAGAGAUCUGUGGCCAUCAGGAAAAGUAACCAAGCUGAAGGGACAUCCAUCUCCAUUUCCAGUGGGGACACCACCAUCUUCUCUAACUUGUUCAUCUUGAGUGAUAGAAAACUUUAACUAAAUAAAUGAAAAAGGAUGGCAGAAAAUAAUCCACAGUGACUUAUGUAUCUUUCUCCAUCCAUAAAUAACUUUAUAUUUCACUUCUGGCAGCAGAGCUGAGCCAGAAGGUAAUGAGCCAUUGUGGAAAACCCAUCUGUUGCUCAUAAGGGGAAAGACCGGAUUUAUUGAGGAAGAAUCUGGAGCGUAAGUCCUGUUAUUGUUAAUGGGAAUUGCACAUCUAAUUG
rnacentral:lncRNA from 1 species